UACGAAGGGGGCGAGCGUUGUUCGGAUUUACUGGGCGUAAAGGGCGCGUAGGCGGCGGGCCAAGUCGAGUGUGAAAGCCCCGGGCUCAACCUGGGAGGUGCGCUCGAGACUGGUUUGCUGGAGUUCGGGAGAGGAGCGUGGAAUUCCCAGUGUAGAGGUGAAAUUCGUAGAUAUUGGGAAGAACACCGGUGGCGAAGGCGGCGCUCUGGACCACAACUGACGCUGAGGCGCGAAAGCUAGGGGAGCAAACAGG
rnacentral:rRNA from 1 species